CUUCUGAGCUUUCUGUGCCCCAGCUUCCUCAUCAGUGAAAUAGAAGUGAUCAUCCCAGCAUCCCCUCCCAGGUCUCUAGCCCUUUCACUCCUCCUUCAAACAUUUUCAGGAUAUCACCCACCAAGAGCAGGAAGCCCUGCUCUUGACUCUAACAUCAGCCCCUCCACCCAAUUAACUGCUCAUGAGCUCUCUUUUAUGAGAAAGCAAGACCCAUGUUUACCAUUCAUUAUUCAUUUCUGAAUUUUCUGCAAUGUGGAAUGUUUACUUAGAGUUUCCCCUUAUUUUAUCUAUCAUUUUAUCUAUCUUCCUCCCUAGAACAGAAGGCCUUUACCUGACCUCCCAUUUCUGCUAACAAAAUACUCUCUCACUCAGCCAGGCUUAAUCUCAUGCUUCUUUGACUCUUCUUCAUUCUCUACCCUGAAUAACUAAUCAUUCUUCAAGUUUUGUCUAGGGUUCCAUAGAAAAUUCCUUUGUAUGCAUCUUCUCUGUUCUCUUACCUCGUAACUCUUCACAGACAGUAAAUUCCGUAAGAAUAGAAGGCAGAUUCUGGUAUCUUCACAGGUCUACCUAUUCCUAACACCUAUUAGAGGAUUCUCUACUUAGCAAGCACAGAACCCUGCUACACAGACACGGGGCACACAAGAAAGAUAAGCCACAGCCCUCUGAUCUUGAGGAACUGUCAGACCAGGUGGGACAAAAAAACCGAUCCACAUAAUGAGAGGCAUGAGACAAUCCAAAACUUCUGAGAAAAUAAUAGGUGGAUGGGGAUCUGGAAGUACCGAGGCUGAUCAGUCAAGACUAUGAAAGACUAGAGGAACAGUGAAUAGAUGCCUUCAAAUAAUUAACCAAGUCUCACAAAUAUGGAAUGAAUGAAUUAACUAGCUUCCUGUAUUUCAAGAACACAGGACUCAAAUCAGAAAUAAGUAAAAUGUUACAGGAGAAUACACAGAGAACAAAUAAAAGAAUGAAGGCAUCCAAUAAUGGGACAGUUGCUCCAUGAACAGUAGCCCUCAAUCACCACAUGUUCCUGCAGAGCCUCACACACAUAAUAUCUGCCUCAGCCAUGAUUCUAACACUAAGCUGGAAGUGGAAUUCAGUUACUCCAGAGCCCAACCCUCUGACCCAAAGGCCCACAUCACUACAUUAAAAAAAAAAAAAAAAAAAAAAAUUU